GAUAUGGUUAUAAUUAGCAACACGUGAAAUUAACAGUUAAUUAUUGAAAACACCGGAUGAGAACGGUCCAACUUCUUAAUUAAAGCGGGGAUCUUGUUCGCAGCUCUGGCCAAAUUCACACCGACGAGAAAGAAUGGUUUAAUGAAACUGUCUCUGUUUCCACUAAACGAUUACGCACGACGGUUAAACUGAUUUAAGUUGGUCAGUUUCACACAUUUCUGCACAAAUCCAAAUAAAUGAGUACGUGGAGUCGGUUCGAUUCACUUAAUUUACCUUCCACCCAGCAGAGGCAGCACUGGGCGAACUGUGCGCAAAGUAGCGCAAAUUACGCGCCACGAAACACCGCGCUCUAGAACGAGAGGGGGGCGUUUUAUAUUAGCAAUUAGGAAUGAAAGAUAACGCGUUGUCCCGAAGGCCACUUUGCCCCUAACUUAAUUACUCGUCUACCGCUCCACGCUGUUUUGGCACCUCGCACCAAGUUUGCGCCAAACUAGUUUCCGCCAACAUUGUCCAAAGAACCAUUUAUGAAGGUGAACGAUGAACCCAAAUCCAUGCUCCCAAACCUCGGACUGCAGCUUCAGGACGCCAGUGAGAGCGUCUCCUUCAGAGUGAGGAGUUGAAGGAUAACGUAGCUCAUGGAGGGAGGCGGGCGCCGCCUCCCAUUUCUCAGUUCAAUCAGACACCUGCCGCUGCCGAGGCGACCUGAUGUGGACAGAUGUGUUCCAGUGCCUCUGCCUCUGUGGAGUUAACGAUGUGCGCCGGCCUCACUCCCAUGACUUUGACACGAGGCUUCGUCUGUGACACACUUCAGAUUAAGCUCUGCUCGUCUCCAGCUCCGGCUCCUGCUGUCUCCUCACCUUCUCGGAAUGCGAUGUGUGUUUGCCACCUUCCCUGGUAAUUACCUGGUGAUGAAGCAUGUGGGCAGGAGAUGAAGGAGAUAAGGUGGAGCUGAGUUUGUUUCCUGUUAUUUAUUGGUAUAAUACACAAAUAAGUGAACACGUCAUCAUAAAUUCUUUGUUGACGUCCAGGGACCUUUCUACGUAUGAGUACAUCUAGCACCUUUUACUUUUUUUUUUUUUUUUUAAUUAAUAGACCAGAGAAGUAAUUUGUCUUGACUUCAGAUUAAUGCAAUUGGAUGAACCUUGUUAUACUGCAGGGAUCAUGAUUAACGCAUUUAGCUUUGCUGCGAGAGCUGAGCUGUAAUGAACAAAUUAGCCACCUUCAGAUAUUUUCCUGUGGGAUUUAACCUUCACACUCAUCCACAUAUGUUUUAUGAGUCGCAACAAAGACGUGAAUAAAGACCGAGACUUGUAAAUGCA
rnacentral:lncRNA from 1 species